UCGCCUGUUUUACAAAAACAUGUCCUUUUGUUUAAAAUAUAAGGUCUAACCAGCCCAAUGAUUAAAUUUAAUGGCCGCGGUAUAUUAACUGUGCUAAGGUAGCAUAAUCAUUUGUCUUUUAAUUAAAGGCUAGAAUGAAUGGUUGGACGAGGUAUUUUCUUUCUUUAAUUUAGUUUAUGAACUUAAUUUUUUAGUUAAAAAGCUAAAAUUUAUUUGGGGGACGAGAAGACCCUAUAGAUCUUUAUAUAUUAUUUUAUUAUACAUUUUAGUGUUAUUAAUUGUCUUAAUAAUUUAUUUUAUUUGAUUGGGGUGAUUAUAGAAUUUAAAUUAACUUCUAUUUUUUUUAUUCAUUAAUUAAUGUUUUUUUUGAUCCAAUUUUAUUGAUUAUAAGAUUAAGUUACCUUAGGGAUAACAGCGUAAUUCUUUUGGAGAGUUCAUAUCGAUGAAGGAGUUUGCGACCUCGAUGUUGGAUUAAAAUAAGUUUUAGGUGUAGGAGCUAAAAAACUAAGUCUGUUCGACUUUUAAUUUUUUACAUGAUCUGAGUU
rnacentral:rRNA from 1 species